rnacentral:rRNA from 1 species
UGGGGAAUAUUGCGCUAUGGGGGAAACCCUGACGCAGCGACGCCGCGUGCGGGAUGAAGGCCUUCGGGUUGUAAAUCGCUUUUGAUUGGGAGCAAGCUCUCGGGUGAGUGUACCUUUCGAAUAAGCGCCGGCUAACUACGUGCCAGCAGCCGCGGUAAUACGUAUGUUGCGAGCGUUAUCCGGAAUUAUUGGGCUUAAAGGGCAUCUAGGCGGUAAGACAAGUUGAAGGUGAAAACCUGUGGCUAAACCAUAAGCUUGCCUACAAAACUGUUGAACGAGAGUACUGGAAAGGUGGGUGGAACUACACGAAUAGAGGUGAAAUUCGUAGAUAUGUGUAGAAGUGCCGAUGAUGAAGAUACCUCACUGGACAGAGACUGACGCUGAAGUGCGAAAGCUAGGGGAGCAAACAGG